rnacentral:rRNA from 1 species
CAGUAGCCGCGGGAACACGGAGGGAGCUAGCGUUGUUCGGAAUCACUGGGCGUAAAGCGCACGUAGGCGGCUAUUCAAGUCAGGGGUGAAAGCCCGGGGCUCAACCCCGGAACUGCCUUUGAAACUAGAUAGCUUGAAUCUUGGAAAGGCGAGUGGAAUUCCGAGUGUAGAGGUGAAAUUCGUAGAUAUUCGGAAGAACACCAGUGGCGAAGGCGACUCGCUGGACAAGUAUUGACGCUGAGGUGCGAAAGCGUGGGGAGCAAACAGGAUUAGAUACCCCCGUAGUCCCUGUCUCUUAUAC